rfam:Schistosoma mattheei strain Denwood, Zambia genome assembly, scaffold: SMTD_scaffold0001472
AUCCGACUGACGAGUCCCAAAUAGGACGAAACACGCGUCCUGGCAU